rnacentral:rRNA from 1 species
CAGAUGCCAGCUAGCGAUCCGCCGAUGUUCCUCCGAUGACUCGGCGGGCAGCUUCCGGGAAACCAAAGCUUUUGGGUUCCGGGGGAAGUAUGGUUGCAAAGCUGAAACUUAAAGGAAUUGACGGAAGGGCACCACCAGGAGUGGAGCCUGCGGCUUAAUUUGACUCAACACGGGAAAUCUCACCAGGCCCGGACACCGGAAGGAUUGACAGAUUGAUAGCUCUUUCUUGAUUCGGUGGGUGGUGGUGCAUGGCCGUUCUUAGUUGGUGGAGCGAUUUGUCUGGUUAAUUCCGAUAACGAACGAGACUCUAGCCUGCUAAAUAGGCGUAUUUUGGUAUCUUGAAAGGCCCUUGGUUUUCGGAUCAAGUGGUUUUUACUACCGACGUACAAUAUUAUCUUCUUAGAGGGACAGGCGGCUUCUAGCCGCACGAGAUUGAGCAAUAACAGGUCUGUGUGUUUA